rnacentral:rRNA from 1 species
GACGAACGCUGGCGGCGUGCCUAAUACAUGCAAGUAGAACGCUGAAGGAGGAGCUUGCUCUUCUGGAUGAGUUGCGAACGGGUGAGUAACGCGUAGGUAACCUGCCUGGUAGCGGGGGAUAACUAUUGGAAACGAUAGCUAAUACCGCAUAACAGUAGAUGUUGCAUGACAUUUACUUAAAAGGUGCAAUUGCCUCACUACCAGAUGGACCUGCGUUGUAUUAGCUAGUUGGUGGGGUAACGGCUCACCAAGGCGACGAUACAUAGCCGACCUGAGAGGGUGAUCGGCCACACUGGGACUGAGACACGGCCCAGACUCCUACGGGAGGCAGCAGUAGGGAAUCUUCGGCAAUGGACGGAAGUCUGACCGAGCAACGCCGCGUGAGUGAAGAAGGUUUUCGGAUCGUAAAGCUCUGUUGUAAGAGAAGAACGAGUGUGAGAGUGGAAAGUUCACACUGUGACGGUAUCUUACCAGAAAGGGACGGCUAACUACGUG